ACGAACGCUGGCGGCGUGCUUAACACAUGCCAGUCGAACGGAAAGGCCCUGCUUUUGUGGGGUGCUCGAGUGGCGAACGGGUGAGUAACACGUGAGUAACCUGCCCUUGACUUUGGGAUAACUUCAGGAAACUGGGGCUAAUACCGGAUAGGAGCUCCUGCUGCAUGGUGGGGGUUGGAAAGUUUCGGCGGUUGGGGAUGGACUCGCGGCUUAUCAGCUUGUUGGUGGGGUAGUGGCUUACCAAGGCUUUGACGGGUAGCCGGCCUGAGAGGGUGACCGGCCACAUUGGGACUGAGAUACGGCCAAGACUCCUACGGGAGGCAGCAGUGGGGAAUAUUGCACAAUGGGCGGAAGCCUGAUGCAGCAACGCCGCGUGCGGGAUGACGGCCUUCGGGUUGUAAACCGCUUUCGCCUGUGACGAAGCGUGAGUGACGGUAAUGGGUAAAGAAGCACCGGCUAACUACG
rnacentral:rRNA from 1 species